rnacentral:lncRNA from 1 species
UCCAUGUCCUAGCAAAAAUAGCAACUAAUAAUUUUGUUAAAUUUUAAUCUGAUGCUUAAAUUGUUAUUUGAAUGUAGGUAUUGUUGUUCUAUUAAUAGAAUAGAGGUCCGCCUUCCCCUUCCACAUGAAUUCAACGGUGAGUUCCUAAUUUCAGUCAGUUUGUAAUACAUUCUACUAAUAGAGUGUUUCAAUCAUUUAGUAAAUAGUCUAUCAAUUCGAUUCUGCCCUAGUCUAUAAUAUCACAAUGCAAUGCCUUAUUAAAGAAAAAAAAUCAAACAACUAUAAACCAUCUACCUUUCUAUUUCAAAAAACUCCCUAAAAUUUAACCAGUACAAAACAAUUAAGGAAAAUCUACAACCAAUGCUUUGUUUUUGAUUGAUGCUCAAAAUUUCCGCUCCUGCGUCAUGACAAAAAGUAACAUCUUUUUGUCUUUACACAAUGCAAUGCAAUCAAUUCUUAUAAAUAAAAAUCCUUUUCCCACUUGUCAACUUCUUAGGUGUUUUGACAAAUGUCAUUUUCUCAUAUUUUUCAAAAUUUUCCUUCUACCUUCUAAAAUUGACAUGUGUAUUUUUUUUUUAAAAACAAAUAUGAUUCUCUGUGGCGCGUAAUAUGGGCUUUAUUUGAGGUCCCACAUAUCAGCAACCAAUUGAAUCUAUAACGUGUUUUCUCAAAUCAAUUGCCUUAUUUUCCUCAGACCAUUGUUGCAUUCCAAAUUCACAUCCCAUACAACAUACUUUCUGUAUCCAUUUUACUCUCACAACAUUUUUUCUUCAAUUUAGUAAACAGGAGAAUUGCUUUCAUAUUAACUCUCCCGUAAAUCAUCUCCUCAAUUUGAAUUUGAAUUUUUAAUGAAGUAAAUUGAUAGAGUUCCCAUAUAUAGGCUCUAUUUUCGAGUCGUUAAUCUCUGUUGAUACGUGAGAUCCCAAUUUUUGUGGAACAAAAUGAAUUCCAUAUUGAAAUCACUCUAUAAAUUCGAUUACUGUUCUGGCUAUUAUUCACACCUUGGUUUUCUUCUUCAAUUCAUUUGUCAUCCAGGUUUCUUCUUUAAUCUGAUGUUCUUAAUUUUUAUUAAUUGUAUUCGAUUUUUUAUUAUCAUGAAUGUGUGGUGUAUCUGAUUGCCUUCUUAACCUUGCAUUUGAUGUUGCACUCUAUGUGUUUGAUAAAAUGCCCAUGAGAUAUGUCUUAUCAAAUACUAUUACACACUAUUGUCUGUAUUUUUGUGCUACUUACCACAUGUGUGUGUGUGUGUGUGUUUGUGAUUCCUAACUUUCCUGCAUUUUGUUUGGGUUAAAUCAUAAACUUGGUUAGCUUACUCAUCCGGGAAGAAAAGGAAGAUCAACUAUUUCAUAAAAAAAAGUAGUUGAUAUCUUGGAUAUUGUAUCUAUAUCAGCAUGUCUAUUUUUGAGCAAACCAUGGGUUUUCACUCUCAUUUAGUUUCUUUAUGCUAUAGUUAUAUGGUAAGAAAAGUGAUUAUGCUAAUAUUAACAUGUUGGUUGUUUGUGUGAUAGCUUGAACUUAUCUUUGGUAGGUAUUAUAUGUCAACUGAACCAAAUGUAGUGAAGGAUUGGGCUGUAUUUUAAGUCUUAAAGGAAUUUUCAGCCCUUUUUCUUUUUUGAACAGUUGUAAGAUAAAGGGUUAUUUGUUACUUCUAAAUAGAAAGGUACUUUCAACAAUAAUCUUUAGUCCAAAUAUCAAAUUGAAGAAAUGACUUUUUAUGUGAUUUUAGGUCAAAAAGUUCAUUUACUCUUUGCUACUUAGAGAUAGAUCAUUUGCGCUUAUUGGAUUAAAAUUUUGAUUUUUGACUUUAGAAAUACCAAGUUUCUGGACAUAACAGCUUAUGUGCAUGGCUAUAAGUAAUAUGGAGACACAAUAGGGUGGGGAAAAGUACACAAGGCCCAAAACUAUAGCAACAUAGUUUUCUUUUUUUACCUGAUCGUUAUAUAGUUUUCUUGAUGAACGUUUUUACAAGCACAUUGUCAAAAAUAAAGAGAAAUUUAUUUCCAAAUGUAAUGAGUUUAGUUCAAACCCUAUUUUAUUUCAAAAAGAGAAGAGAUAGUUGGUUGUUUUUUUAUUGCUUCUGUUUUCUUUUGGUUGAAAGUAUCAAGAAUUCAUUUUUAUAGUGUAUUUGUUAUAAGAAUGUGUUUGCUUUCAUAAUUUUUUCUUUAACAUGUUUUUCAGAUAGACACUCAAGGGAAAAAUGUAAUGAGUGCUUCAUCUUCUUGGGUGCCUAAGAAUGAGCUUCUACAGAUUUAAAUAUUCAUUGAUAGUAAUAUGGGAGAAUAAGACCAAAAGACCAAACCCGAUGUUUCUAUUAAGUAAGGUUAAUAUUUACCAUCUCAAGUUUUUCCCAUUUUUAUAAUAUGAGAACAGAUUGAUAAAUUACAUAAAUUUUUCAUAAUUUUGGUAUUUUCUCUAACCAUUUCAUAGGAGAUAAGUUAUUUAUUCAUACUUUUAUGAUUUUAGGGUUUUCUUUCACGAUUUAAAAAGAAACAAUUUGAAAUAAAAGUUUGAUAGAUGAUAUGUGUGUAAACUGUGGUUGUUUUGUGUAUGAAUUUGCAUUCCUGGAUUAGUUUUCUUAAAUUUCUUAUAUUAAUUUCUAAGAAAUAGAAUUUUAUAACGUUAGCAUGUUCAUCCUUCUUUUUUGUGACCUUUUUGGUCAUUUUCUCAUUCUUAUAUAUAUAUAUGAUUCAUAAUUUUGGCAUUCUUAAGCUAAAAAAUACUAAUAUGAAACUUUUAAAAUUAAAAGUUUGAUUUUUUUGAGUUUUUUAGUCAAGAUGACCAUUUUGACCUUUUUGUCCAAUUUGGUCAUUUUUACCGGUUUUAUUUUUUUAAAAUUUUUUUUCGUAAUAUGGUCAUUUUUGCUGAAAAUAGUCAUUUUGAUCAUUUUGCUUAAUCUGAUCAUUUUGACCAUUUCGGUCAAUUUGAUCAUUUUUUAUACAGGGACCAUUAAUGUCUAUUUUGUUAAACAUGGGCUAUUUAUACAAUAUUUUUAUAUACGGACCAUUUUUUUUAAAUUUAUUUAAAUAGGGAUUAUUCCUGUAGUUAAAUAUAUUUAAAACAGGUAAUAAUUACUUUCAUUUUUUAAGUUUAGCAAUGUACUUUUUAUAAUAAAAAGUAUGAUGUUAUAUUAGAGAUAAAACUGAAAUAUGUUGCUAUAUAUUGCAUUUAGCACAUGACCGAUUUGUCGUUUCUAUGAGAUACUAUGCCAAUAACACAAGUUUUUUUUUUUUUUUUUUUUUGGUUAGGUUCCUAAAGAACAUGUACAGAGGAGGAAAAUGACUCAAAUCGAUGUUUGCUUUGGUUAUACACCAAGUCAAGCUACCAUUUUAUAUAAUCUAAAUUAAAUUGAUUUAGACUUUAUUUUUUUUAGAGUAAGUUUAUUAAAAUUUCUUAAAAAAGACAACUCGUAAAUUACAUUCUAUAUGAAUUUUUAAACUUUUGUAGUAAUGGAACUAAAUGAUGCUUCUAUAUAGAUACAAUCCAAAUUAAAGUACUAUGUUAUUUCUUGCAUCUUACUCAACAAUGGGUUAUAAUUAAUUCCACGUUUUUUUCAAUUCUAACUCUUAUUAAAAGUUUAUAGCAUUAUAGUUAAUUUUUCUUAUUGACACAUUAUACUUUAGAAAAUUCACAUAGUUUAGCAUCUUACUUACAUUUAUUUUUAUUACAACAUUAUGGUUUUCUAUUUUUAUUAUGAUCUUCCAUGUGGUUCAAGAUGCUCUUUUGUUGAGGUAGUAUAUAUGAAUAUUACGCAAGGAAAGGAAAAAAUAUUGAUUUUUGUUGUUCCUUUAGCCAAAUUGUUGUUACUGAUGGAACUUUACGCGGCAAGGCUAUUCCCAGAGUUUUCAUUGUGACUACUAAAUAUGUCUGAUAUUUUUUAUAAUAUGAAUUCAAUUACUUAUUUAAUAUUCAUCAUUUCGUUUGUAUUUAUAUAAAAAUAUUUAAUGUUUACAUCUUGAUAUUCAACUGUUUUUAAUCAACCCGUUGGGUCUCACACCUAGUGCAGAAAAAAAAAUCAAAGAACUAUAAACCAUCUACCUUUCUAUUUCAAAAAACUCCUAAAAUUUAACUAGUACAAAACAAUUAAGCAAAAUCUACAAGUAACUAAUGCGUUGUUUUUUAUUGAUGCUCAAAAUUUCCACUCCUGGCUCAAAAAUAACAAAAAGUAACAUCUUUUUGUCUGUUUUUUUUUUUUUCAUAAUAAUAUUAUAUAUUUUAUAG